rnacentral:lncRNA from 1 species
CCCAAUUCACCCCCUUCCUUUUUAAUUCUUUCUCCUGGUGUGUCUGCUCCACCGCCCGAGCUAAUCCCCCAAAUCCGGUCUCCUAAGCCGCAGCUGCUUCCCUUCGCAGUGAUGAAUGGCUCGGGGAGGGAAGACCCUGUGUUCGAUGAGGGCCUGCCUGCUGGGCCCUCUGCUCUGCCUGGAGAAACCUGACGUUUGUCCAAAGGAGCAAGAUUGGCCAGACCUGUGGAACUGUCCAGAGAGCCGGCACCUGGGGCUGGCCAGGUUCCUCAAACACAGUGGAACACUUGCAGAUCCGUGUGGUUUUCUCUAUGCAACUCUGAGCAGCCAUUCUUCCGCAAGGUGAAGCUUGAGAACCUCUGAGCUCAGCUGAAAGAAGGAAAUCAGCAUGCAAGUGUCUGGCCCUUCAAGUGAAUCAGAAAAGUCCUAGGGCAGAGUGGGAUGCUAACAGAAACGCAGGUUUUUAGAAAUAAACACCUAAAAUUGUUUGAUGAACCCCACUCGUAGGAGGCAUUGACCGCUGCAGUUGCCACGCCCCAAAAGUAGGUGAAGAAAACACUGCUUUCCUGUUCAUCUCUGCCCUUGGUAUAGACUAGGGGUUGGUACACGAAGUCUCAGGCCAGUUGGUAAUUGGCCUGUUCAAAUCUGGCCCCCUGGCCUGUUAUGGUCAAAUAAAGUUUUAUUGGCAGAAAAAAAAAAAAAAGCACGGCCUCGUGCUUCCUUAUUCCAGACUCCAGCAUCACCAUGCACCUCCCUCCUUCCUCUCGGCAUGUGGGCUGCAUCCCCCCGUCUUCUUUCUAGAGGGAGAAGUGAUUCGAAGCAGGCCUCUGAUGUGGGCCUCACCUCCAUGCAAGGCGCUCCCUUUGGGCCCAGCUGCUCUGCUGGAGCCGGCUUGAAAAUAUGUGUGCCCCCUCCAGGGCAGGCCAGGGCAGAGAAGUGAGCCGGAGGGACCUGCAGACUGAGUGCUGAUCCCCUGAAACCCCCUCCCGCCCUUGGCCAGAGCGCCCCAGCUACCACAGGCGGCCCUGCCUUCAGGGCUGAGUGCUGUGUGAGCCAGUGGGGGAUAACAUGCCCAGCUGGGGCAAAUCCAGCCUCAGCUUCUAUCUCAGACUGACUUUUGUGCCAGGGAAGAAAUUCUGUCUUUGCCCUUUACCUCCCAACCUCUUUGCCCAGCAUAGGUGUUCAAUAAAAUAGCCUGUUGGUUGAAAGGACUCUGCUGUCUGUUCUCUGCGUGAGGAGGACCGGGAUUUAUGUUGCUCUGAGCAGUCGAAGUCCAUUCUGUUUUCUAUAGAUUUCCUUAAGGGUAUCAGACAAACUGGGCCUGCUAGGGAAGGGCCCCCACUCUCCACUCCCUGCCCGUGACUUAGUUCCAG